AAGACUGUAUUUUCAGGGAUCAUUUCUAUAGUUGAGUACUAGAGAAGUUUCUCUGAUCGUGUAGAGUGCCAAAAACCACGAGGAGACAUAACAUUCUCACCUGAGUGUGAAGCUGGCUAUUGGUGCUGCUGUGUUGCUGCUGCCAUUUGCCAUUGAUGAUUGUUCUUCUUCAGAGGAGCAAGAGGGUGAGGACGUCAUCUGAGUGGU
rnacentral:snoRNA from 1 species